GAGUUUGAUCGUGGCUCAGAUUGAACGCUGGCGGCAUGCCUUACACAUGCAAGUCGAACGGCAGCACGGGAGCUUGCUCCUGGUGGCGAGUGGCGAACGGGUGAGUAAUGCAUCGGAACGUAUCCUGGAGUGGGGGAUAACGUAGCGAAAGUUACGCUAAUACCGCAUAUUCUGUGAGCAGGAAAGCGGGGGACCUUCGGGCCUCGCGCUCUUGGAGCGGCCGAUGUCGGAUUAGCUAGUUGGUGAGGUAAAGGCUCACCAAGGCGACGAUCCGUAGCAGGUCUGAGAGGAUGAUCUGCCACACUGGAACUGAGACACGGUCCAGACUCCUACGGGGGGCAGCAGUGGGGAAUUUUGGACAAUGGGGGCAACCCUGAUCCAGCCAUGCCGCGUGAGUGAAGAAGGCCUCGGUUGUAA
rnacentral:rRNA from 1 species